GAUGGCAGCCAGCUUGAGAGUGAGGGGUACAGUACCAGUACUGACAGGAGGUGGUUUUGGCUUUGCGGAUGAGUUCUGAGACGGUCUGUUCUGUUACUAGGGUGAAGUCAGAGAGGGAGCUGAUGAGAGUUUGGCCAGAGGUGAUCAUCCAGGGUGGGUCAUCAGAGGGGGUGUGAGAUGAGGCCAGUUGUUGGUGAAUGGUGUUGAUUUUAGAGCUGAAGAAGUCAAGGAACGCAGUGCAUUGGGUGGUGGAAAUAUCUGGAGGGAGAGAUUUAGGAGGCUGAAGUAAGUGGUUGACUGUUGAGAAGAGGACUCUGCUGUUGCCUGUACCAGUGUUGAUGAGGUUGGAGUAGUAUGAGGUUUUGGCAGUGGUGAGGGCAUUCUUGUAGUGAUGGAGGUGGUCCGAAUACAUUUGGCGGUGUACAGUGAGUUUUGUCUUAUUGUAGAGUCGCUCCAGUCGACGACCAGUGGCUUUGAGCUGGCGCAGAAGAGGAGUGAACCAGGGAGCAGUGUGGGUGAAUGAGACUGAGCGGGUUUUCAGGGGGGCCAGGGUGGUGAGGGAGGAGGAGAGGCAGUUAUUGUAGUUAGUCACCAGGUCAGUCAGGGAGGAAGCUGGGGGAGGGUUGGGGUAGGAGCUGAUCAUGGUGGAGAGGUCUGUGGUGUUGAUAAGUUUGAUGUUUCUGAAGGAGAUGGUCCGUUGUUCCUUGGUUUUGUGUAGUUGGGUAUGAAUGUCAAAAAGUACAGCUUUGUGGUCGGAGAUGGGGAAAUCAAUGACAUCAAGGUUUGUGGGAGUGAUGUCAGUGCAGCAGAUUAAAUCCAGAAUGUGACCUUUGUUAUGGGUUGGGAGGUUGACAUGUUGUGUGAUGCCAAGACAGUCCAGAAGUGAUGUGAAGUCAUUAGCAAAAGUACAGGAUGGGUUGUCAAUGUGGAUGUUGAAAUCACCAAGGAGGAUAACAGUGGGGGACAUUGCACAUACAGAUGUAAGUAGUGAUGAGAAAUCAUUGAGGAAAACGGCGGAGGGUUUUGGUGGUCUGUAAAUGGUGACAAUGAUAGUGGGUUUGGGGCCGGAGAGUUUUACAGCUAGACAUUCAAAGGAGGAGUGAAGGGGGACUGUGACAGUGGUGACUUUGAUGUUAUCACGAUGGAGGAGAGCGAGGCCACCCCCCCUCCCAUUAACCCGGGGUUUGCUAAUAAAAGAAAAACCUGGUGGGACAGCUUCAUUUAGAUGGGAGAAGUCAUUUGGUUGUUGCCAGGUCUCAGUGAGGCAGAGAAUGUCUAGGCUCUGGUCAACAAUAGUCAUUUAUAAAAAGGGCCUUAUUACUGAGGGAUCUGGUGUUCAGCAGACAGAGUUUCAGACAGGUGAGUGGAGUGUAGCAGGUUGCUUUGAGCAGAGGGGACAGGACACUGUGAUUGACGGGACUGACCGUACGGGCUGUGCGAGGAAGGGGGCGGGGCCCAGUGGACCAGAAGGAGCGGAUGUUUUUGUUGCAGGUGUGAGUGUACUGAAAAUUCCGUCCAGAGCCUCGGUGGAUGUAUUUUGGUCGUUUGAGAAUGUCCUGGUGGGAUGCAAGCUGAGGUGGUUGGGUCCUUGAGAAGAUCCGUAGACGUAACAUCUCCG
ensembl:lncRNA